AUAGAUAGAUCAUCAUUGGAUGAGUGGACUUGGAUCUUGAGGGAAUCCAAUCAGGAGAACACCCUAGUAAACAAUAAGAGAAUCCAUUUGGGUGAACACCCGAGUAAAAAAUUUUAUACCCUACUACUUAUACCCAUUAAGACCCAACCGAACCACUCAUAUGUUUGUGCUGGUACUUUUCCCGAGUUCCAGAGGUUUUAAAGUCGUCUCCUAUAAUAGUGUAACACCUUCCUCAAUGGCUUUGAAGAGAUCCUUAACCUCUUCCAGUUCCUUUAAAAUAGUAACUGUAGGGUUAGAAAUAGAUUUUAUUACCUUGGGAAGUUUUG
rnacentral:lncRNA from 1 species